UACGGGGGGAGCAAGCGUUGUUCGGAUUUACUGGGCGUAAAGGGCGCGUAGGCGGCCAGCACAAGUCAGUUGUGAAAUCUCCGGGCUUAACUCGGAAAGGUCAACUGAUACUGUGCGGCUAGAGUGCAGAAGGGGCAACUGGAAUUCUCGGUGUAGCGGUGAAAUGCGUAGAUAUCGAGAGGAACACCUGCGGCGAAGGCGGGUUGCUGGGCCGACACUGACGCUGAUGCGCGAAAGCCAGGGGAGCGAACAGG
rnacentral:rRNA from 1 species